GCAGGUAUGGCGGAAUUGGCAGACGCGUUAGACUUAGGAUCUAAUGGAUUACUCCGUGGGGGUUCAAGUCCCUUUACCUGCA
rnacentral:tRNA from 1 species